rnacentral:rRNA from 1 species
AUACGUAGGUGGCAAGCGUUGUCCGGAUUUACUGGGUGUAAAGGGCGUGUAGGCGGAGAUGCAAGUCAGGAGUGAAGUCUAGGGGCUCAACCCCUAAACUGCUUUUGAAACUGUAUCCCUUGAGUAUCGGAGAGGCAGGCGGAAUUCCUAGUGUAGCGGUGAAAUGCGUAGAUAUUAGGAAGAACACCAGGGGCGAAGGCGGCCUGCUGGACGACAACUGACGCUGAGGCGCGAAAGCGUGGGGAGCAAACAGGAGUAGAUACCCUGGUAGUCCACAAUGUAAACGAUGAAUGCUAGGUGUAGGGGGUAUCGACCCCUUCUGUGCCGCAGUCAACACAAUAAGCAUUCCGCCUGGGGAGUACGGCCGCAAGGUUGAAACUCAAAUGAAUUGACGGGG